CUACGUGCCAGCAGCCGCGGUAAUACGUAGGGCGCGAGCGUUGUCCGGAAUUAUUGGGCGUAAAGAGCUUGUAGGCGGUUUGUCGCGUCUGCUGUGAAAGGCCGGAGCUUAACUCCGUGCAUUGCAGUGGGUACGGGCAGACUAGAGUGCAGUAGGGGAGACUGGAAUUCCUGGUGUAGCGGUGGAAUGCGCAGAUAUCAGGAGGAACACCGAUGGCGAAGGCAGGUCUCUGGGCUGUAACUGACGCUGAGAAGCGAAAGCAUGGGGAGCGAACAGGAUUAGAUACCCUGGUAGUCCAUGCCGUAAACGUUGGGCACUAGGUGUGGGGGACAUUCCACGUUUUCCGCGCCGUAGCUAACGCAUUAAGUGCCCCGCCUGGGGAGUACGGCCGCAAGGCUAAAACUCAAAGAAAUUGACGGGGGCCCGCACAAGCGGCGGAGCAUGCGGAUUAAUUCGAUGCAACGCGAAGAACCUUACCAAGGCUU
rnacentral:rRNA from 1 species